rnacentral:rRNA from 1 species
AUUGAACGCUGGCGGAAUGCUUUACACAUGCAAGUCGAACGGUAGAGGGGGGCAACCCCUUGAGAGUGGCGAACGGGUGAGUAAUAUAUCGGAACGUGCCCAGUCGUGGGGAUAACGUAGCGAAAGUUACGCUAAUACCGCAUACGAUCUAAGGAUGAAAGCGGGGGAUCGCAAGACCUCGCGCGAUUGGAGCGGCCGAUAUCAGAUUAGGUAGUUGGUGAGGUAAAGGCUCACCAAGCCAACGAUCUGUAGCUGGUCUGAGAGGACGACCAGCCACACUGGAACUGAGACACGGUCCAGACUCCUACGGGAGGCAGCAGUGGGGAAUUUCCGCAAUGGGCGAAAGCCUGACGGAGCAACGCCGCGUGAGGGAGGAAGGUCUUUGGAUUGUAAACCUCUUUCUCAAGGAAGAAGUUCUAGACGGUACUUGAGGAUCAGCCUCGGCUAACUCCGUGCCAGCAGCCGCGGUAAA